rnacentral:rRNA from 1 species
CCUACGGGUGGCAGCAGUGAGGAAUAUUGGUCAAUGGACGAGAGUCUGAACCAGCCAAGUAGCGUGAAGGAUGACUGCCCUAUGGGUUGUAAACUUCUUUUAUAUGGGAAUAAAACGUUCCACGUGUGGGAUUUUGUAUGUACCAUAUGAAUAAGAAUCGGCUAACUCCGUGCCAGCAGCCGCGGUAAUACGGAGGAUCCGAGCGUUAUCCGGAUUUAUUGGGUUUAAAGGGAGCGUAGGUGGAUUGUUAAGUCAGUUGUGAAAGUUUGCGGCUCAACCGUAAAAUUGCAGUUGAAACUGGCAGUCUUGAGUACAGUAGAGGUGAGCGGAAUUCGUGGUGUAGCGGUGAAAUGCUUAGAUAUCACGAAGAACUCCGAUGGCGAAGGCAGUUCACUGGACUGCAACUGACACUGAGGCUCGAAAGUGUGGGUAUCAAACAGGAUUAGAUACCCGUGUAGUC